ACUCACUUGCAAAUAACGUUUAUAAAACUGUGAGUGACCUUUUUCAAUCGGUGAAGUGUCCCAAUACUUGAAGUCUGAUUUGAUAAAGACACCCCAGGCUUCGCUAUUAUCAGUCAGAAUAGGUGAAAUCAUUGUGUCAACAAUUUUGUAAGCAAGAGAUGGUUUCAAACGGCUGAAGUCGAUGCGUCGUCUUAAACUAAACAGAGCAUGAACAGCCUUUUCUCUUAAGUGUUCGAGUGACAGCGUGAAGUUCCCAGUUGAAGAAAUUUGAGUUCCCAGGUAAGUAUAACUUUGGACAAUGUCAAUCUUUUCGUUGCCAAUAUAAAAAUUGCAGUCAUAUUUUUUCGCUCGUCGUUAAAAAAUCAUAACUUUGUUUUUUUGGGGGGAUUUAUGUUUAACAUCCACGAUCUGCAGUACUGGGUCAAAACAUCGAGACAGUUUUGCGGUCCUGCCUUUGAUCGUGAUAGUAAAAGCAAAAAUUUGAUAGCCAGCUUACCGUCAUCAGCCCGAGCUCUGUUCUUUGACAAAGCACGCUGUUUCAGCCAAUCAGAGCACUCGUUAUAUGGAAACUUUAUUAUAAAAGUAAGUAUGUGUCACUAGAGAGUUGGUAAAUCAGCCAAUCAAGUGUCAUAUUCUGCGGUGUUGACACAUGAAGUAAAUUAUGCGCGACCUGAUAGUUGAAUGAGGUAAACAGUCAUGAAAAAUGUUUUUAUAACUAUUUCGAGUUAUUUCGUUCGCUACGAGAGCGUCGGUUGCAUUGAGAAAAAGAUGAGAGGGUGAACAGUGGCACUAUUGUCUGCCUGUAAUGACCUCAGGCAAGGAGUAUUGAAAUAGGCGGAGAAGAUAUUGGACCGAAAAAUUAUUUAGGUAUAAUCCCCUUUAACGCCUCUGUUCAAGUUUGAAGUGUCACUCAUAUUCUGUGACAGGGUUACAUAAUUAUAUUUGACACUGCUCUAGGAGAUAAAUAUCAACCAAUCAGAUCUCUAAUAUGAAGAUAUAUUGAUAUAUAUACUCAGACAUUCAUUUGGGUGUGUAGAAGGCUAGUAAACCGUUAAUUAAUUCAGGCAGGGAAUUAACAACGAGGACUGUUUAUCACCUCUAUUUUGAAUCAUUCGUUUAGUUACAAGGCCGUGGGUUGCACUGGCUGAGACAUCUUUUAGUUGUGAGUUUCUGGAAACCUGCUUCGCGUUUGCAACUUCACUGAAUCGAUGAUAUUGGGUUCGAAUAACAGUCUAAUUCCUCCUCUGUCUUGCACACUUGUAUCAGGAUCGACUUUCAGUUGCUGCUAAUAACCAAGCUCUCCUACUGCUGGGUAAUUAAGCUAGUGUCGACGGAAGCUAUUCUCAAAAGGAAGAGAAAUCGCCUACAUUAUCCUUAUUUAACGAGACCUGGAAUUAGGUGAAUUAUGGAAGUCUAUUCGCCGGCCAGAAGUCUAAUUGCAGUCCGGCGAUCGCUUCUGUGAGUGAAGAGUCUUUUUUGCAGGCCUUGUGCACUUUUAAUGUAUAAGUUUAAAAUGUUUGCAACGUCCCAAAUAUGCCAUAAUUAGUGAUGAAUGCACUUUGCAAAAUGGCGAACUAGUUAGAGCUUGUUGCAUGGUUACGAUAGCUUUAUAUAGACUUCGGGUCAAAAAUAUCCCUUUGGCUUGGAAGAGUUAAGAUUAUUAAUAUGGCCUUCUUUUCAAGUGUCAAGUGACAGGUCAGACAACUCGAGAUUCUAUUACGUUUUGUCUUGACGCGAUCGAACAUUUCUAGACGAAACAUGAAGGCUUAUACAAGAGUAAUCCAUUAGAGUGAAAUAAUUAAGAGAUCAAUUCGGUUCAGACAACAGUACGUUUCAAGGGAAAAUGCACAUCUAUUGUUCUUUUAUUUUUGUUCAAUGUGAUGUAAAGAUUCCCGCUUACCGUCAAACUAGCUAGAUAUCCAUUUGGCCGAGGGCAUGAACUUUUUGCAAACGGUCGUGGUUGCCUUCAUAGAUAAGGACUUCAAUAAAAUGUUCUCGCUAGUUUGAGAGGCAGAUCUGCGAGGGAAACAAACUCAAGCAAAGCUAAGACAAUUUACCAGACAAUUAACGUAACAAUUUACCAGCCAUUGUGAUAACUGACCGGCACCCAUGACGUUGGAGCGAAAGUUGAGAUUUCAGACGGUUAUAAAAUGCCGCCAUUGAUUAUACUACACACAAUGCAGUCUGAUAAAUAUCUUUUGAGAAAGCUCGGAAUUUCUUCCCUCUUGUGAGCCAGUUUGUGCGUUCGAAGCCUACGUUUAUAAAUUGCGAGCGUGAGUACAAAUGCACUGGAGACUAAUAAGUGUUAUAAUGAUAGUCUAUUUUUAUCUUCUGUAGUUAAGGAAGACCUCACUGGUUGACGCAAUGAAUAAAAACGUUCGAAAAGGUAUUUUCAA